AAUUUAUCCCUGAUGGUGUACACAGGGGUUAAAAAAUCCACUAGCCCGACGCCCGGGACUAGAUCAUUUGCGCCUCGGGCAAUCAAAACUUUAACCCAAUAUGCCCGACGGACUAGUUACAAAACAUUAUUGGCGUUUCCAAAAUAGAUAGUGGAAAAUCCCUUCAUCUCUAUUCUAUCUUAGUCAAUCAGAUUCAAUUACGUCAUCUGGGAUUCGAAGCAUUUGAACUGGUUUGUAC
rnacentral:lncRNA from 1 species